UCAUUGGUCUAGUUUGCUCAGGCUGCCCUCUUUUCUAGGGGACAUGAGAAGGACAGUUCUCUAAAAAUGGGAUCUGAGGGAGAAGACAACGAUUGGCACACCUACUAAAGAUAGCAGGAAGAAAAUCCAAAGAGAAACUUCUUUGAGGAUUUCUGUGGCUUCUGAAGAAGAGAUAUAUCUGAGCCAUGGUUGACACAGCACUUGCCUUUUCUCAGAGUCCUAUCAGGGACUCAUCAUCAUCAUCAUUAUCAUCUUUCAAGAGUGUUGGGAAGAUCAAGGAAAUAAUGAAUGUAAAGCACCUGUUUCAUGCAGUUCUCAGCACAGAGUAGCUCUAUAAGUGUUAGUUCCAUUUGCCCCUUCUGUAUUUUACUUAAGCCUGACUGUGAGUAGGAAUUCAACAAGUAUUUGUUAAAUCGAGAUGACCAUGAUUUGGUCUUAUAAUGAGUGAAAGUACUGAAAAGAGAGUUUCAUUGAAAUAGAUACCAUGUCUGUCAGUGCAUCCACCCACACAUUGACAAGCUAUCUUUUCCCGUGCAAAUUCACAUGCAACAACAAAUACACUGACAUUGCACAUGGUCAGGCAUCUCUUACGCACUAGAAAUAGGUACAUGGCAUUAAGCUGUCCUCAGUUGGUGGUGCCAGGAGUAUGAUAUGGUGGAAAGAGACAGUGCUGGGAUUCAUUCACAACUGGGUUCAGAUUCUAGCUCACCACUUACUAGUCAUGCGAUUUUGGGCGAGUGACAUAGCUCUCCGAACCCUGGUUUCCUUACCUAAAUGACAGUAUAUCACAAAUUUGUUGUGGGGACUAAAUAAGACAGUAUAUGGAAAGAGCUUAUUCUUGGUUUUGUCACUGCUUAAGUAACUUUUCUAUCAAGUUCAAAUCGUGGUUGGUACCCAUUUAUCUCCCACAGCUUUCUGGCUCCAAUUUAUUGGCUCAAAAAAAUAACUAGUUGAGAUAAGAGAAAGCCUCCCAGGAGGUGACACUUGAGCAAAAUCUUGAAGGGUAUUAGCUAACUAGAAAAGGCAUUUCAGGGAUUCCUCUUGUGGCUCAGUGAGUUAAGAACUGGACCUUGUCUCUGUGAGGAUAUGGGUUCCAUCCCUGGCCUGGCUCAGUGAGUUA